CGUGAGGGAAAGGUGAAAAGAACCCCGGGAGGGGAGUGAAAUAGAACCUGAAACCCUGCACUUACAAGCUGUGGAAGCACAUUUCUUGUGUGACCGCGUACUUUUUGUAGAACGGGCCAACGAGUUACGUUAAGUAGCAAGGUUAAGCACUUAAGGUGCGGAGCCGUAGCGAAAGCGAGUUUUAACUGAGCGUUCAGUUACUUGACGUAGACCCGAAACCGGGCGACCUACCCAUGAGCAGGAUGAAGCGAAAGUAAAAUUUCGUGGAGGUCCGAACCCACGAGCGUUGAAAAGCUCGGGGAUGACUUGUGGGUAGCGGUGAAAUUCCAAUCGAGCCCGGAGAUAGCUGGUUCUCCCCGAAAUAGCUUUAGGGCUAGCCUCAAGGUGAGAGAUACGGAGGUAGAGCACUGAAUGUCCUAGGGGGUAUUGCACCUACCGAAGACUAUCAAACUCCGAAUGCCGUCAUCUUAUACUUGGGAGUCAGACUGUGGGUGAUAAGAUUCAUAGUCGAAAGGGCAACAGCCCAGAUCGUCAGCUAAGGUCCCUAAAUGUAAGUUAAGUGGUAAAGGAUGUGGGAUUGCACAGACAACCAGGAUGUUGGCUUAGAAGCAGCCACUCAUUCAAAGAGUGCGUAAUAGCUCACUGGUCGAGUGAUCCUGCGCCGAAGAUUUCCGGGGCUAAAACUUACUACCGAAGCUACGGCAUCAGUAAUGAUGGGUAGGGGAGCUUCCCAUACGGGUUGAAGCAUGACCGUAAGGACAUGUGGACAGUAUGGGAGUGAGAAUGUUGGCAUGAGUAGCGAGAUGUGGGUGAGAAUCCCACAGGCCGUAAACCCAAGGUUUCCAGGGGAAGGUUCGUCCGCCCUGGGUUAGUCGGGACCUAAGCUGAGGCCGAAAGGCGUAGGUGAUGGACAACAGGUUGAUAUUCCUGUACUACCGAUAACCGUUUGAGAGAAGGGAUGACACAGUAGGAUAAGCUAAGCACACUGUUGGUUAUGUGUGCCCAAGCAUUGAGGCAGUCAAAGUAGGCAAAUCCGCUUUGAUAAUGCUGGGAUGUGAUGGGGAGCGAAAUUUAGUAGCGAAGUAGCUGAUUUCACACUGUCAAGAAAAGUCUCUAUCGAGGUUAAAGGUACCCGUACCGCAAACCGACACAGGUGGGUGAGGAGAGUAUCCUAAGGCCAGCGAGAGAACUGUUGUUAAGGAACUCGGCAAAAUGACCCCGUAACUUAGGGAUAAGGGGUGCCACCAUCAGGUGGCCGCAGAGAAUAGGCCCAAGCGACUGUUUACCAAAAACAUAGGUUUCUGCUAAGUCGCAAGACGAUGUAUAGGAGCUGACGCCUGCCCGGUGCUGGAAGGUUAAGGGGAUCUGUUAGAGCAAUCGAAGCAGUGAACUUAAGCCCCAGUAAACGGCGGCCGUAACUAUAACGGUCCUAAGGUAGCGAAAUUCCUUGUCGGGUAAGUUCCGACCCGCACGAAAGGCGUAACGAUUUGGGCACUGUCUCAACAACAGACUCGGUGAAAUUGUAAUUCCGGUGAAGAUGCCGGAUACCUGCGACAGGACGGAAAGACCCCAUGGAGCUUUACUGUAGCUUGACAUUGGGUCUUGGUACUACAUGUACAGGAUAGGUGGGAGGCUUUGAAACCAGGACGCCAGUUUUGGCGGAGCCAUCCUUGGGAUACCACCCUUGUAGUACUGGGACUCUAACCAUAGGCCAUGAAUCUGGUCUUGGGACACUGUCAGGUGGGCAGUUUGACUGGGGCGGUCGCCUCCCAAAAGGUAACGGAGGCGCUCAAAGGUUCUCUCAGUACGGUCGGAAAUCGUACGUAGAGUGUAAAGGCAAAAGAGAGCUUGAUUGCAAGACAUACAGGUCGAGCAAGGAUGAAAAUCGGACUUAGUGAUCCGGUGGUUCUGCGUGGAAGGGCCAUCGCUCAACGGAUAAAAGCUACCCUGGGGAUAACAGGCUUAUCUCCCCCAAGAGUCCACAUCGACGGGGAGGUUUGGCACCUCGAUGUCGGCUCGUCGCAUCCUGGGGCUGUAGUCGGUCCCAAGGGUUGGGCUGUUCGCCCAUUAAAGCGGCACGCGAGCUGGGUUCAGAACGUCGUGAGACAGUUCGGUCCCUAUCCGUCGCGGGCGUAGGAAAUUUGAGAGGAUCUGCUCCUAGUACGAGAGGACCAGAGUGGACUUACCGCUGGUGUACCAGUUGUUCUGCCAAGAGCAUCGCUGGGUAGCUAUGUAGGGAAGGGAUAAACGCUGAAAGCAUCUAAGUGUGAAGCCCACCUCAAGAUGAGAUUUCCCAUGAUUUU
rnacentral:rRNA from 1 species